rnacentral:lncRNA from 1 species
UUCCUUUUUAGCUGCCAUUUACACGCUGCUCAGGUUUUGAAAACCAGCAUUUCAUGCUACUCCCUAGAGAGCCAGCACCAGCUUCAGCAGGAUCCAUCUGCACAGCACUCACAUUGCUGAAAUCUUCAGCCAACCCAGAAUUCAUUUAUUUAUUUUUUGAAAAAAAAUGAGAGAGAGGAAGUGAGAGAGUACGAGUGAGAGAGCAAGCAAGCGGGUGAAAAUAAUAGAUUAGAAUCUGGUAAUAUUUAAUGCGCACGCUUGACCAAUCCCUGCGCUGGUCCAGGCAGGGGUGAGUCAGUGGAGUUUUUCUUUGAUCAUCUUCUAGAUUAGUGUGAGCAGCGAGCGAAUGAGCAAGAGCGUGUGACAACAGAGGAUGACAGGCUGUGAGGUUCGAAGCAGGAAGGACACACUCCAUAAGUCUCGGCACUGCUCAUCAGCCCAUGUGUCAGCACGCUCUUGCUGAUGGGAGCAGCGGGGAGAAACGCCAUACUGGGAAGUCACUGCUGGUGUGGGACAAGUUACAAGAUGCUUCUGGGGGAGGAAAAUGUGUAUCAUCAACUCCUCAGGGUUGUUCUGAGGAUUCAAUGAGGCAAUGUCUGAAAUGCAUUUAUCACAGUACCUGGUGCAGAGACAGUGAAGCCUGCUCAGUCUAGACUUACAUGAGAGACUACUCAAUGACUCUCACAGAAAAGAGAUCUUCCCAAGGUGACAUCUUCUCCUCCUAAGCCAAUAAGGUCAUCUUACUCACAGUCCACUUCCAGGAACUGACCCCAAAUGGACAGAAUCUACUUAUAUCAUGGCACAGCUGUCAACUUCUCUUGCUAAAGAAGAGAAUAACGCUCACAAAAUUGCCCCAGAUGGCGGUGCAACAUUUUUGGGCCAAGUACUACAACUGAAAAGCAUGAACAGAGUUUUACCAGCGGGUUACAGCUCUUGUUUAACUUCUAGAAAACUAGUGACAUGCUCUUGGAGAAGCCCCUCUUACAGAAGGCCAAAGAAGCUGAGAAAGCACAGAGGAAAUAAUCAAGGCUCACCUGGGAAAGCAACACAGCUUCACCAUCAUUCUCUCGUCCCUGAGAAAAUAAAUCAAAACAAACAAGUAUAUUGAGCACUGGGUGUUCAAAACCACA